UAAAAUCAUUACAUUAGUACCUCUUACUAUAACGGUGUCAAGUUCCCGUUUGAAAAUUAAAAGAUAUUUACAUUAAUUUUUAAUUUAUUUUUAGAAAAAAUAAAACUAUGCUAGGUCUUGUUCAUUCUUCUCCGUGUAGCUAAAGGGAGUCGCAUUUGUCGUCGUUGCAUCGCAUUUCUCCUUUGUGCUUCUCCUCCACACUUCUCCUUCGCAUUUCUCCUCUGGGUGGUGCUACGCAUGUUUCUCCUUCACAGUUGUGGUGCAAGGCGUGCUCUCCUUUGUAGUAAUGAUAGGUAAGCCCCUCUCUCUCGUCAUCGUCGUAUCUUGUUAAGGGAGUCACAUUCGUCAUCAUUCUAUCGCAUGUCUCCUUUGCGUUUUUUUAUGUUGAAAAAGCUAUUGUUUUUCUUUGCAAAGUGAAGGGGUAUCCGUGGGAGAUUUGUUUGUGCAUGGGUAGACAAAUAAAAAAA
rnacentral:lncRNA from 1 species